rnacentral:rRNA from 1 species
GACAGCAGUAGCCGCGGUAAUACGAAGGGUGCAAGCGUUAAUCGGAAUUACUGGGCGUAAAGCGUGCGUAGGCGGUGAGUUAAGUCUGCUGUGAAAUCCCCGGGCUCAACCUGGGAAUGGCAGUGGAUACUGGCUCGCUAGAGUGUGUCAGAGGAUGGUGGAAUUCCCGGUGUAGCGGUGAAAUGCGUAGAGAUCGGGAGGAACAUCAGUGGCGAAGGCGGCCAUCUGGGACAACACUGACGCUGAGGCACGAAAGCGUAGGGAGCAAACAGGAUUAGAUACCCCCGUAGUCCCUGUCUCUUAUAC